rnacentral:rRNA from 1 species
CCUACGGGAGGCAGCAGUGAGGAAUAUUGGACAAUGGGCGCAAGCCUGAUCCAGCCAUGCCGCGUGCAGGAAGAAGCAUCUAUGGUGUGUAAACUGCUUUUGUACGGGAAGAAACACUGCUACGUGUAGCAGCUUGACGGUACCGUAAGAAUAAGGAUCGGCUAACUCCGUGCCAGCAGCCGCGGUAAUACGGAGGAUCCAAACGUUAUCCGGAAUCAUUGGGUUUAAAGGGUCCGUAGGCGGUUUGGUAAGUCAGUGGUGAAAGCCCAUCGCUUAACGAUGGAACGGCCAUUGAUACUGCCAGACUUGAAUUACUAGGAAGUAACUAGAAUAUGUAGUGUAGCGGUGAAAUGCUUAGAUAUUACAUGGAAUACCAAUUGCGAAGGCAGGUUACUACUAGUUUAUUGACGCUGAUGGACGAAAGCGUGGGGAGCGAACAGGAUUAGAUACCCUGGUAGUCCACGCCGUAAACGAUGGAUACUAGCUGUUCGGGGUAACCUGAGUGGCUAAGCGAAGUGAUAAGUAUCCCACCUGGGGAGUACGUUCGCAGGAAUGAAACUCAAAGAGUAGUACGGCGNGNGAGAGACGACGACGACGACGACGGAGGAGGAGG